rnacentral:rRNA from 1 species
GCACUAAUCUCCCCAGGGAAACCUGGCCCUUAAUUCGAUAAUCCACGAUCAUCUUACCUUCCCUUGUUUUACUAAACCCCGAAAGGUUAGUGAAAGUCAGCUUGCAUACCGCCGUUGUUCAGCUUAUACCAAAAGGGGCAAAAAAUAAGCAACGCAGCAUGACGCCCCGGUGGCUUGUGCUACCAAUUCAGGUAAACGUGUAGCCUAUGGGAAGGGGCUGCUGGGUUGCACUGAAAGCUUUCCACGGACCCCCGCGAUAAUUCGCCUGGUAAAGAAGGACUUGGAAGUAAUACCCCCAAAAAAAGGGGCUAUGAAUUCAGCUCUAGUGCGCGU